rnacentral:rRNA from 1 species
UACGUAGGGGGCAAGCGUUGUCCGGAAUUAUUGGGCGUAAAGAGCGCGUAGGCGGUUUGUCGCGUCUGCUGUGAAAGACCGGGGCUCAACUCCGGUUCUGCAGUGGGUACGGGCAGACUAGAGUGAUGUAGGGGAGACUGGAAUUCCUGGUGUAGCGGUGAAAUGCGCAGAUAUCAGGAGGAACACCGGUGGCGAAGGCGGGUCUCUGGGCCAUAACUGACGCUGAGGAGCGAAAGCGUGGGGAGCGAACAGG